ACCAGACUCCUACGGGAGGCAGCAGUGGGGGAUAUUGCACAAUGGGGGGAACCCUGAUGCAGCGACGCCGCGUGGGUGAAGAAGCGCCUCGGCGCGUAAAGCCCUGUCAGCAGGGAAGAAAAUGACGGUACCUGAAGAAGAAGCCCCGGCUAACUACGUGCCAGCAGCCGCAGUAAUACGUAGGGGGCAAGCGUUAUCCGGAUUUACUGGGUGUAAAGGGGGCGCAGACGGCGAUGCAAGCCAGGAGUGAAAGCCCGGGGCCCAACCCCGGGACUGCUCUUGGAACUGCGUGGCUGGAGUGCAGGAGGGGCAGGCGGAAUUCCUGGUGUAGCGGUGAAAUGCGUAGAUAUCAGGAGGAACACCGGUGGCGAAGGCGGCCUGCUGGACUGCAACUGACGUUGAGGCCCGAAAGCGUGGGGAGCAAACAGGAUUAGAUACCCCUGUAGU
rnacentral:rRNA from 1 species